rnacentral:lncRNA from 13 species
UAGCACUGCAUAAGGCUGCUCCAUGCUGAUUUCCUCACAAUGGGGCUAUGGACAGACAGCCUGAGAAACGUGUUAUUUCUCUCAUAAGCUUCAAAGUCAUGGUAACAGUAUUGUGCUUAUGAGCUCGACCUCUGAAGUCAGAAGUCAGACAGAUCUGGGUUCAAAUCCUGACUCUUCCUCUGAUGAGCUGUAUGAUAUUGAAGAAGAGAAUUGUAUGAGAUCAGUCAGCAUCUGAUUGGAGACCGGACAAGAUUAACCCAGAAGGAACCUAAGAAGGAAGACAGGAGAAGGAUAGAGCUUUAUCUUGAAGCCAGAGGAGAAGAGCAUUUCAAAAUAGAAUGGUUGGUAAACAGUGCCAAAUUC